UACGUAGGGGGCGAGCGUUAUCCGGAAUUACUGGGCGUAAAGCGUGCGCAGACGGUUGCGUAAGCCAGAUGUGAAAUCCCCGGGCUUAACCUGGGAAUGGCAUUUGGGACUGCAAGGCUUGAGUGCGGCAGAGGAGACUGGAAUUCCUGGUGUAGCAGUGAAAUGCGUAGAUAUCAGGAGGAACACCGAUGGCGAAGGCAGGUCUCUGGGCUGACACUGACGCUCAUGCAUGAAAGCGUGGGGAGCAAACAGG
rnacentral:rRNA from 1 species